UUUUCAUUAUUCAUGCUGCUAUAAACUCAAAAACUGUUGAUAUGGGCAACUUGCUUGAUGACAUCAUUACUGUAAGCUUUGUGAUGUAAGCAAUGACAAGGACUGUGCAGCCAUUUGCAAUAAUGACAUCACAAACAGUAAAACACUGUCCCCUCAAUUUCAAAGAAAUGUGUCAUUUACUUAGUCUCUUCAGUAGCAACAGGUUGAGACGUUAACUUCUAACUUGUAACUGUUUUGAUCAUGAAAAAGACCCGUGAUAAAGUCAAACCUGAAACUGGAACAGGUAGAUUGUAUUUAUAGAUUAACUGGUGCUACAUUUGACAUACUGUUUUAAUAAUCUUGUCCUUGUAUUUAAAGCAUGUCUGUUUAUUUCUGUGGCCAGCAGGUCCCUCUCAGCAUGAACGGUGUUCAUCAGGACGCAGCAAUAGCUCCAGCUCAGGAUCUGUUCCUGGCUUUUUGGAAGAGACUCGCCUUUCUUCUUUACAGGAGUGUAUACUGAGUUUAUCUGAAGAGGAGUGGGAGGAUUUCAGCAGCCUGCUGAACACUCCUAUGACAAGGACUCAGUUCUCCCAACUCUGCGUGGCCAUCUUGAAGGUAGUGAGUCUUAGCUCCAUGACAGUGAUUGUACCUGCGUACGUCUCUGUGGCGAAGGAUGCUAGAACUUCGGUCAGCAGACCCUCAACGUCCACAACC